rnacentral:rRNA from 1 species
GAUGAACGCUGGCGGCGUGCCUAAUACAUGCAAGUCGAGCGAACAGACGAGGAGCUUGCUCCUCUGACGUUAGCGGCGGACGGGUGAGUAACACGUGGAUAACCUACCUAUAAGACUGGGAUAACUUCGGGAAACCGGAGCUAAUACCGGAUAAUAUAUUGAACCGCAUGGUUCUAUAGUGAAAGACGGUUUUGCUGUCACUUAUAGAUGGAUCCGCGCCGCAUUAGCUAGUUGGUAAGGUAACAGCUUACCAAGGCAACGAUGCGUAGCCGCCCUGAGAGGGUGAUCGGCCACAUUGGAACUGAGACACGGUCCAGACUCCUACGGGAGGCAGCAGUAGGGAAUCUUCCGCAGUGGGCGAAGGCCUGACGGAGCAACGCCGCGUGAGGGAUGAAGGUGUUCGGAUCGUAAAACUCUGUUAUUAGGGAAGAACAAAUGUGUAAGUAACUAUGCACGUCUUGACGGUACCUAAUCAGAAAGCCACGGCUAACUACGUG